GACGAACGCUGGCGGCGUGCCUAACACAUGCAAGUCGAACGGUAAGGCCCUUCGGGGUACACGAGUGGCGAACGGGUGAGUAACACGUGGGUGAUCUGCCCUGCACUUCGGGUUAAGCCUGGGAAACUGGGUCUAAUACCGGAUAGAACCACUGCCUGCAUGGGUGGUGGUGGAAAGCUUUUGCGGUGUGGGAUGGGCCCGCGGCCUAUCAGCUUGUUGGUGGGGUGAUGGCCUACCAAGGCGACGACGGGUAGCCGGCCUGAGAGGGGGACCGGCCACACUGGGACUGAGAUACGGCCCAGACUCCUACGGGAGGCAGCAGUGGGGAAUAUUGCACAAUGGGCGCAAGCCUGAUGCAGCGACGCCGCGUGAGGGAUGACGGCCUUCGGGUUGUAAACCUCUUUCAGCACCGACGAAGCGCAAGUGACGGUAGGUGCAGAAGAAGGACCGGCCAACUACGUGCCAGCCGCCACCGUAA
rnacentral:rRNA from 1 species